CAUCAGCAGACAAGAAGCUACAGUGGAUGGAAACUCUGUAAGAAUUGUGAAGAGGUCUUCAGGGAGCUGUUUUUCCUUAAGACACACAUGAGAGCUCAGAAUGGAGGGAACACUUUUGAGGGUAAUUGUUAUGGAAAAGACACCCUUAGUGUGCACAAAGAAGCCUCUAUUGGACAGGAACUUUCUAAAUUUAAUCCAUGUGGAAAAGUCUUCACCCUAACUCCAGGCCUUGCUGAACAUCUUGAAGUUCUCAAUGCAAGACAACCGUACAAAUGUAAGGAAUGUGGAAAAGGCUUUAAGUGUUUUGCAAGCCUUGAUAAUCACAUGGGAAUUCACGCUGGUGAGAAACUCUGAAUUUCAGGAAUGUGGGAGAACCAUCACACCCUCCUCACACCUAAAGCAGUGUGUAACAGCUCAUACUGGAAAGAAAUUCAAAAAGACUAAGAAAUAUGGGAAAUCCUUCACUAAUUUUUCUCAACUUUCUGCACAUGUGAAAACUCAUAAAGAGGAGAAGUCCUUUGAUUGUAAAGAAUGUGGAAUUUCCGUUAGAAAUUCCUCAUAUCUUAAUGAUCACAUUCAAACUCCAACUGGAGUAAAAACCACACAAAUAUACAGACUGUGGGAAAGCCUUCACUAGAUCAAUUCAACUUACUGAACAUGUAAGAACUCACACUGGGGUAAAACCCUAUGAAUGUAAAGCCUUCACUAGAUCCUCAGGCCUUACUCAACAUACAAUAAUUCAGAUGGGAGAGAAGCCUUAUGAAUGUGUUGAAUGUGGAAAAACCUUCAUUACUUCUUCCCAUCGUACUUAACAUUUGAAAACUCAUAGUGGAGAAAAGCCCUUUGUAUGCAAGAUAUGUGGGAAAGCAUUUAUAUUUUCCUCAUCCCUUAAUAUUCACCUGCAAACUCAUACUGGAGAGAAACCCUUCAUAUGUAAAGAAUAUGGGAAAGCAUUUAUUGUUUCCUCACACCUAGGUAGACAU
rnacentral:lncRNA from 1 species